rnacentral:rRNA from 1 species
GACGAACGCUGGCGGCGUGCCUAACACAUGCAAGUCGAACGGAAAGGCCCUGCUUUUGUGGGGUGCUCGAGUGGCGAACGGGUGAGUAACACGUGAGUAACCUGCCCUUGACUUUGGGAUAACUUCAGGAAACUGGGGCUAAUACCGGAUAGGAGCUCCUGCUGCAUGGUGGGGGUUGGAAAGUUUCGGCGGUUGGGGAUGGACUCGCGGCUUAUCAGCUUGUUGGUGGGGUAGUGGCUUACCAAGGCGUUGACGGGUAGCCGGCCUGAGAGGGUGACCGGGCACACUGGAAGUGGGACAGGGUCAAGAGUGCGACGGGAGGCAGCAGUGGGGAAUAUGGGACAAUGGGGGGAAGCCUGAUACAGCCAGACCGCGGGGGUGAAGAAGGCCUUGGGGUUGUAAAGGGGUGUAGGUGGGAAGGAAAAGCAGCAGGUUAAGACCCAGAGGUUGUGACGGUAAAAAAAGAAUAAGCAACGGCGAACUUCGUG